rnacentral:rRNA from 1 species
GGUUUGAUUCUGGCUCAGAUUGAACGCUGGCGGGAUGCUUUAUACACAUGCAAGUCGAACGGCAGCACGGACUUCGGUCUGGUGGCGAGUGGCGAACGGGUGAGUAAUGUAUCGGAACGUGCCUAGUAGCGGGGGAUAACUGCAGCGGGGAAAGCUUUAAUACCGCAUACGCCCUUCGGGGGAAAAGCGGGGGACCUCGGGCCUCGCACUAUUAGAGCGGCCGAUAGGAUUAGCUAGUUGGCGGGGUAACGGCUCACCAAGGCGACGAUCCGUAGCUGGUUUGAGAGGACGACAUUUACGCCACACUGGGACUGGAGACAUUUGUCAGACUCUACGGAGGGCAGGCAGUGGGGAAUUUUGGACAGCUGGGGAAACCCUGAUCCAGCCAUCCCGCGUAAAAGGCGAGCAGUAUUUUCGCUGGGUUGUAAAGCACUUUUUGGCAGGAAAGAAACGGCACGGAUAAUUACCCCGUGCAACUGACGGUACCUGCAGAAUAAGCACCGAAGCAAUCACAAACAGCAAGAGCCAUGUAAUACGUAGGGUGCAAGCGGCACUGAAUUACUGGCGGCGUGUGCAGGCGGUUCGGAAAGAAAGAUGUGAAAUCCCAGAGCUUAACUUUGGAACUGAUAUUUUGAAUCACUGAGUGAGUGUGUCAGAGGGAGGUGGAAUUCCGCGUGUAGCAGUGAAAUGCGUAGAUAUGCGGAGGAACACCGAUGGCGAAGGCAGCCUCCUGGGAUAACACUGACGCUCAUGCACGAAAGCGUGGGGAGCAAACAGGAUUAGAUAACUAUGUAGUCCACGCCCUAAAACGAUGUCAACUAGCUGUUGGGGCCUUCGGGCCUUGGUAGCGCAGCUAUUGCAGUGAAGUUGACCGCCUGGGGAGUACGGUCGCAAGAUUAAAAACUGGGCGAAUGAUGGGACUGCAGCAAGCGGAUGAGCGUGGGAUUGAUCGAUAAAACGCGAAAAACCUUACCUACCCUUGACAUGUCUUAAACCCAGAGAUUUGAGUGUUUUGCAAGAGAACCGAACACAGGUGCUGCAUGGCUGCUGCGCUUAAGCCAAUGCGGGAGAUGGGUUAAGUCCCGCAACGAGCGCAACCCUUGUCAUUAGACACAUGAAAGGGCACUUAAUGAGAGACUGCCGGUGAUAUAAACCGGAGGAAGGUGGGGAUGAGCCGCCAAGUCCUUUGCGGCUCUGUGGUAGGGCUUCACACGUCAUACAAUGGUCGGGACAGAGGUCGCCAACCUGCGAGGGGAGCCAAUCCCAGAAACCCGAUUGAACCGGAUCGCAGUCUGCAACCUGGACUGCGGUUAACCUGCCGGUGAAUGCGGAUCAGCAUGUCGCGGUGAAUACGUUCCCGGGUCUUGUACACACCGCCCGUCACACCAUGGGAGUGGGUUUUACCAGGAAGUGAAGUAGCCCAACUGUAAGGAGGGCGAUUACCACGGUAGGAUUCAUGACUGGGGUAGUCGUAACAAGGUAA